AAACAAGUUAUUUAUGUGAAUAUAAUAAUGGUGGCUGGAAUUAGAUGGAUUUAUACUUGAAAAAAUAAUGAUUCUGCAAAUAAUGAUAGUCUAAAGAAUAUUUUGAAUAUAGUGGACUCACAUGCAUUUUUGGGACCCACGAAAAAAUAUUGGAAUUAAGAUUCAACAAUAUAUAUUUUGUUGUUAAAGUUUAAUAAAUACAAAUGCUGGAAGUAAUAGAUUUGAUGAUUAGGGCCUACGAUAAUCUUAAUGCGGCCCUAGAAAUUCUACUAAUAAUAAGUUUUAGUUUUACCGUAAAUAAUGGAAAUAUAAUGGAAAAAUAACACAAGAAUUACGAGACAUAAUUCAAAUCCAAAGAAUCAUGGAAAUUUUAAACCAAAAUUGCUUCCAAAUUUAAAACUGAAGAAGUUUACGGAGGAAAUUCAAACACAAGUAUUAGAUUUUGAAGAAAGUUGUUUCGUCUUCAUAUAAUUAUGGCUUCCAAAUUACAAAUUCUAAGAGUUUAAUUGUGACCCGAAUUAUUAAAUUCAAAGUCACUUCCUUCUACUCUCCAUGUGUUUCUUCAAAGCAAGACGUCUCCAAUUCCAAAAUACGUAGCUUCAUCGCAAUUGUGGAUUUAAAAUUUCAACUGAAGAGAAAGGAAAUAAAAACAUUCUACCUUGUGACUCGAGAAACGACGAUGUUCGAGAAUUGUGUUCCAUAAUACUUAUCUUCGUAUAAUUGUGGUAGUUGGAACAAUAUCAAAUAGUAAAAAUAUCCAAUAGUAUUUAGCAUGAAAUGCAAGGACUCUUA